CCUACGGGAGGCAGCAGUGGGGAAUAUUGCACAAUGGGGGAAACCCUGAUGCAGCGACGCCGCGUGAGUGAAGAAGUAAUUCGUUAUGUAAAGCUCUAUCAGCAGGGAAGAAAAUGACGGUACCUGACUAAGAAGCCCCGGCUAACUACGUGCCAGCAGCCGCGGUAAUACGUAGGGGGCAAGCGUUAUCCGGAUUUACUGGGUGUAAAGGGAGCGUAGACGGCAGUGCAAGUCUGGAGUGAAAGGCGGGGGCUCAACCCCCGGACUGCUCUGGAAACUGUACGGCUGGAGUGCAGGAGAGGUAAGUGGAAUUCCUAGUGUAGCGGUGAAAUGCGUGGAUAUUAGGAGGAACACCAGUGGCGAAGGCGGCUUACUGGACUGUAACUGACGUUGAGGCUCGAAAGCGUGGGGAGCAAACAGGAUUAGAUACCCCAGUAGUC
rnacentral:rRNA from 1 species